GAAACGAAUGUGUGUGUGUGUUUGCCUAGGCACUUGGGGUGCUGCGGGCCAGAGGCACUGGGCAGCUCAACUACCCACAUCUUGACUGGGACGCUGCUUUUCCAUCCAUUGCUUUGGGGAGGGGGAGGGAUGAAAAAGUAGCAGAGCAAAAUAUAUGGUUACUUCAAUACGUGCUUUAUUUCCUAAGUGUUUUAUCAGUUCUUGCCUAUUUUUCAUGUUCCUGGAAAUUCAGAAUUUUUUUUAGCCCAGCUGUUUUCAGUAGGUCCAGAAUAGGUUUCAUUGUUGCUAGUUUCUCCCAGGUUGGAACACAGUUGGCAUGUGUCCAUGCCAUUCUUAGUUUACUUUAUAUCCAUCUCAGUUAAAAUAUGCUGAGGAAUAACAUAAUUGCCCACCAGGAAGAGAGGAUUGCAUUUAAAGGCUGCUGUUACAUGUCUGUCCCACAUUAAUGUUCAUUUCUGCUAAAUGUUUUUUAUUAUCAAGGCAGUCCUUGAGCCGCAGGACUCCCAGAGUGAUUUACAUAGGCAUCAGUUAUGCAAUCUCUUUCUGAGGGCGCUGAAGUACAAUGAAACAAAGUAUUUGGUUGGAGUCCUGAGCAGAUUUAAAAUGCACUACUGAAAUGGCUAACAGAACAAACUCAUCCGAGUAUUUUUGGUCUUAUGAAUAUUACUGGGAUUAUAUAGAUCCAAUUCCAGUAGAUGGAAGGAAGUUGAAGGUUAAUAAAUAUACUAUCGUCAUAGCCUUUUGGGUUGGGCUUGCUGCAUUUGUGAUGUUUCUCUUCCUUAUUUUGCUUUAUAUGUCCCGCUCUGGAUCAACACCAAUAAAACAGGUGAUUGCAAGGAACCAGGCAGAAGAAAGCAGCUCCAACGGUGAACAGCCUCACUGCGAUGAUCUCAGUAGCCCAGACUCAGAUUUGAUUGCUCCUGAAAUACCUAACUCCCUUUCGGAUGAAACUGGCAUUCGUAGAAGUAUCUCAGCCUGAGUUGAAAUUGGAACAGAUUAAAUAAAAACAGCAGUACAGUCCUCCUGACUACAGAGAAAAGAUCAAUACUGUGACUACCUAUUAAACACUGAUGCUACAAAGCUGAAUUAGUUCAGAACAGAAGAAAAAUUUCUUUCAAAGGCUAAAAUUGAAAAAUCCUGGAGACAUAAGAGGAAAUCCUAACAGCCAUAUUUGAGCAACAUUGCUGGAGUUGACUUAUGAGAAGAGCAAUUCAGUUCUUGAUGAUGAUUGCAAAAUUCCUCUCUUGUUUAAGUAAAGAUUCAGACUCAAACUCCUCUCCCAGUUAUGCAGCGUAAAGUGCAUGCUGCCAGUUGAGUGGUUCUCAUUCACACCCAUUGGCUGAGAGCAGAUUUACCUCCUCCAGCAGAAAGUGCAGAAACACCAGUUAUGCCCCAAGUCCUGUAAAGGGUUCUGCUUUGCUUACCUGAGAGUCCUGUUAUCCUCAGGGGUUUCUCUGCAGAAUCACAGUCUUCACUGGAUCUCCUUACUGUGAAAGAAAACAAUACCAUGUUGAUCAUGUUGAACAGGCAGCAUAACCAAUACUGUUUAUACAUCGUGAUAGCCACCAUGACAUAAGUCAUUUAUUUCUAGCUCUGUCCUGAGGUCACCCUCUCAUGGUUAACUACAUCUUCAUGAUGUUCCGCUUACUGCCAAAUAAACAAUGAUGUCAGUGCAACAUCAACCAUAAACCUUUGCUUUUAGAAGAGUUAUGUCUUUCUUCCCCAACUUAAAGCUCAGCACUUCCCUCAAGGAUAGAAUAUGCUUUUUAUUCAUUUUCCUAUUGCAAAAACAUGUUUGGUUUACUUAAAAUUUAUUAAAACUUUGUUUAGCUAAAACAGCCUUUACAUGCUAAUGGAAGCACUGAUUAUCUCAAGUGAAUGUGUCUUAAUGAAUAAAGUCAUUAGCUUUUCCUACUGCCAGGAAAUACAGGGUUUUGCUAGUAAUAAUCAAUCACCCUUAGCUAUCACUUUGAAAUGGUAGGUGGAAAAGGAACUUGAUAAUAUUGAAUAUUCUUGAAAUGGUAUCUGCCAGUUACCUAGGCAUUAGAAAGAGAGAAGUGUGUUUAUAAUCUUUUAUAUCAAGGGGAGAUGCUGUCAAAAGCACAAAAGCAACAUCGCGUUUCUGCACAAGUUGCCUGCUUUCAAUUAGGGCUGAAAAACAGUCUCACAGAAGCUUUUGGGUGGGAUGCAGAGGACCUCUUUAGCCCUGCCUCCUGGAGCAGUGCAGAAAGUGCCACUUGUACUCCCUCCACUCAGGGGCCUCCACUCUCUCCACCUCUCCUCACCCGUGGAGCACCACCAAACCCAGGCAGAGGCAGACAAAGGUCCACAAGAGGGUGAGGAACUGUUAGAGCUUCAGUAACCACAACGCUGGGACUGCAGAGUCUGCAAACUGACUACUGUUGGUGUUAGGCCUGAAAACCUAUCAAGGCUUAAAGUCUGUGGAGUCAGACUGAGUCACGGACAGGUGGAGAAAAUGAGGGAAGGCUGCAGGAGCAGAAGAGGCAACGUGGACAGAGAAAUAUCAAAGAGCCAAAAUUUCCCUUUAGUCAACUCCGAUGGCCACACCAGCCUUUCCCUUCCCUCAGAUACGCUUACCCUUUGCUAGAGCUGAGGUAGCACCCACCAGAGACAUGAAUCAACAUUUGUGGCAAAAUCCUGACUGUGUUCUACUUAACAGCAAAACUCCACUGCUUUUGAAGGGGCGAGAAUUUUUCCCUCAUUGGCACCGGUUGUCCUACCGCAAGUCGAAUCUCCCUGUAACCC